rnacentral:rRNA from 1 species
UGGUGGAGCGAUUUGUCUGGUUAAUUCCGUUAACGAACGAGACCUCGACCUGCUAAAUAGUGGGGUAUAGUCUCCGGGCUAUAUCGUGGUUAUGAUUGUUUCGCUAGGCAGCAAUGUCUGACGAGACCGUUUUAGCCAAUUCACUUCUUAGAGGGACUAUCGGUGUUUAUAGCCGAUGGAAGUUCGAGGCAAUAACA